GAAGUGCGAUAAGUAAUGUGAAUUGCAGAAUUCCGUGAAUCAUCGAAUCUUUGAACGCAAAUUGCACUCUCUUCGGAGAGUAUGCCUGUUUGAGGGUCAGUAUUAAUAAAAAUCGGGGUGUUGCUUCUUUGUGACGCUCCGGAGUUUGGGUCAUCUUAACAUCCUUUUAGGUUUUAAGAGGCUUAAAAUUGACUCUUUUUUUGCGCAUUUUAGAUGUACAUAAAUUAUUUUUUUUAUUCGUCUGUCUUAAUGCUCAAAAUCCUAUUAGAUGCUACCAUAUCGUGUGGUUUUCGUGUCUAUAAAUUUUUCAUGAUUUGACCUCAAAUCAGGUAGGAGUACCCGCUGAACUUAA
rnacentral:misc_RNA from 1 species